AUUCCUAAUUAUUUCUCUCCCUUCCUCUCAAUUAAAUACGUAGAUAUAUUUUAUUAAAUAUAUCCUACAAAUCAGUUUGCUAAUGUACACAAAAAAAAAUCAGUUUGCUUAAUGGACACAUUGCUUUCCUUUGAGAAACCUUUCCUCUGUAAUCUAUACAAUCUGUGCUUUAAGUUCCCCUUGAAGCAAUAUUACACCUAUCACCUGUAAUAUGAAGUUUGAAGCCAAGAUGACAUGACAUAUAGACAUCUUGCAGCUCGAGUUGAUCCACGUUGUUCUUUCCUAUUUUUCAAAGCAAUCUUGUGUGUCGACUUUGUGACUAAGCAGUUUGAGAUUAUUGAUAAUUCCGCUUCCACUCAUGCCAUUGCGUUGAAAUAUGGCGAUACCCAGAAAAUUUGAAAUUUUGGUUGCACGAAUAUUUAAGUCGGUUGGUGAGGAUUUCAAGUCCGGGGUGUGCCUUAAUUUGGAGACCAAAAGGAUGCCAAUGAAGUGAUGGGACACCAAUAACAAGGUGGAUUGAUUUCCUCAUGGCAUAGUAUGCAGUUUGCGAUAUUUGUUUAGUUGGUUCGUCCUAUGGAAUGUUACUACUGUGUAAACAGUCUAUCAUGGUAGUUGUUUCAUUUUUGAUAGCUAGUAUAAUUUUGGUUCACUGCUUGGUCGUUUUAAUUUCAGUUGUGCAAUGGCUUUAUAGUUGUAAUUUUAUUUUUUCUUCA